ACGGUGAAACACAGGUUCUCGACUGAUCACAGAAGUUAAACCACGUUGAACCUGGUCAGUCCUCAGAUGCGUGACCUCUGGGAAAAACCAAGUGUUGUAA